rnacentral:pre_miRNA from 1 species
CAUGGCGGGGAGGGGGGUUCCUUAGUCUGGAUUGUGAGAGGGUGCAGGCCAGGCCGAGGGACUCCACUGGUGCACA